rnacentral:rRNA from 1 species
GACGAACGCUGGCGGCGUGCCUAAUACAUGCAAGUCGAACGCAGUGGGGACGGGUGAGUAACACGUGGGUAACCUCCCAUCAGAGGGGAUAACACUUGGAAACAGGUGCUAAACCGAUACUGAUGGAUGGACCCGCGGUGCAUUAGCUAGUUGGUGAGGUAACGGCUCACCAAGGCCACGAUGCAUAGUGGACCUGAGAGGGCGAUCGGCCACACUGGGACGGAGACACGGCCCAUACUCCUCCGGGAGGGAGGAGUAGGGAAUCUGCGGCAAUGGACGAAAGUCUGACCGAGCUAAUCCGCGUGAGUGAAGAAGGUUUUCGGGUCGUAAAACUCUGUUGUUAGAGAAGCGGUAUCUAACCAGAAAGCCACGGCUAACUACGUGCCAGCAGCCGCGGUAAUUC